rnacentral:rRNA from 1 species
AUUGAACGCUGGCGGCAUGCCUUACACAUGCAAGUCGAACGGCAGCGCGGGGCAACCUGGCGGCGAGUGGCGAACGGGUGAGUAAAAUAUCGGAACAUACCCUAGAGUGGGGGAUAACGUAGCGAAAGUUACGCUAAUACCGCAUACGCACUAAGGUGGAAAGUGGGGGAUCUUCGGACCUCAUGCUCAUGGAGUGGCCGAUAUCUGAUUAGCUAGUUGGUGAGGUAAAGGCUCACCAAGGCGACGAUCAGUAGCUGGUUUGAGAGAACGACCAGCCACACUGGAACUGAGACACGGUCCAGACUCCUACGGGAGGCAGCAGUGGGGAAUUUUGGACAAUGGGGGCAACCCUGAUCCAGCAAUGCCGCGUGAGUGAAGAAGGCCUCGGUGUAAG